AAAGACUUAUGGAGGCUAUUCCCACGACUCGGUCUAGUCUUUUUCAGCAUGUAAAGCGUGCAAUAUACCAUGGCGGCUAUGAAUGAGUAACAAGCUUGGAAUUGGUUCCUAUGCUUACUAGUCCAGACGCUUAUGAAUGGCGAAGGAACAAAUAUGAUCCAUGGGAACCCUUUUGAACUCUUAGUGAGGCCUCUUCAUCUUAUCAGGAGCUUGUACAUUAUGGAUGUAAGAAAUAAUACCAGUCUUUGUAAAUGUGGAAAAUCAGCUCUCCGAUUGUGAAUAAACAUGUAUUUGCGGGCUAACGAGUAUGCUGAUUGGGUAUUAUGUCCUUACCUCAAUAAAAUACCUUGAAACUGUAACACGAGUGGAUAAAUUCUCGGAUGCGUAUGGUAGUUGUAGCAACAAAUGUUCAGGAUAUUCUAUCUUAUCCACCACGUUAUGUAUUUCAAGUUUAGCACUAUGUUCACAUUAAGAGGCAGACACUAGAAUCAUGGUGCAUGUAUCUCGUGCAGUGUAACACAAACUUAAACGAGUCAUGAUUCGAACAGUCGUUACUGAUGAUGCUGUCAUUACUGUUUCGCUUCUCCGUGACAUAGGGGUAGACGAACUAUGGAUUGUGUUUGGGAGGGCAAAAAACUUUGAAUUAAUAUCUAUCAAUGACCUUUCAAAUGCACUAGGCAAUGAGUGAUCACACACACUUAUUGUGAUCCAUGCCUUUACCAGUUGUGAUACAGUUCUAUCUUUGCUUGAAAAGAAAAAAGACUGCGUGUGAGACAUUGAUGGCAUUUGAAAAUGUGACUUUAACAUAAAGAAUGAUGAUUG
rnacentral:lncRNA from 1 species